CAGACGGCAGGCACUAACUGACACGAAAUUAGAGAGCUGUUCGUGUAGAUGGAGGACCAGGUAACAUGCAAAAGCCAAAUCUUAGUAUGCAUAGGAUUCUUAAUAAAGCUAAAUAAAUGUAGUCAUCGCAUUGAAAAUGCAGAGAAGAGCAAACCUGGAAAGUUUCUGAUGAGCUGGUGGCUUUGUGCCAAUGGAGGGAAAAAGAAAGAUAACAAGGAACUAGACACUGUGGGUGAACUCCUGGCCUCCUGCUGCGAGGCGCCUGAGGACCCUGGGCUCUCCCUCCUCGGUUUGGGCUUCAGAGGACCCUGGGCUCUCCCUCCUCGGUUUGGGCUUCAGAAGGUGGCUCCACUUCUGGGUGGCAGUGACAGGCAGACCUGCUGAGAGCCCAGAGAGAAAUACUACCCUGCAGGGAGAUAAGGUCAUCAACCUGCCACCACUGGUAUAUUCCCAUAAUAAUGUCCACUGGUCCCAGUCGAGAGGCACCCACUCCUUUUCCUCUUGUCUAACACAGGAGUCUCGAGCUGCCUAAAGAAACCCAUUUUUGGGAAGAGGAUUAAAAACAAACAAACAAACAACAAAACUGUGCUCCAAAUGUAUAUAACCCUGUAGAUUAAUGAAACAUUUGGGCCAAAGUUCUGUAUUCUCAUAGGCAAAGACUCUCAUAGUAUUAAUAUAUUCACUGAUUUUAAAUUAUUUUUAACUUAAAGGUUUUGUUUUAAUCUGCUGUGAUGAAAUCUUGGAUCACUAUAGCUGUAAAUGAGUAGAUUUAUCUAGAUAUGUUAAAUGAACAAAUGUAAAAUGUUCGAUACAGCACAGGUGCUUAAUAAGUUGGCUUCAGAGCCGUGUUUUUCCAACAUGUUCUGAUGAUCCAAGUUUGAUACUUAAGACAAUUAAAAACAAGAAAUUUAACUU
rnacentral:lncRNA from 1 species